UCUCGCCUCUCGUCUCUCGUCUCUUACUCUCUCUUUCUUCUCUUCUCUGGGCCGCCUCUCUUUCUUCUCUUCUCUGUCAAUUUCUCUUCAUCAAGAAGGACUAGAUCGAUGUCCAAGGAGCAGAUCAGGUUGAUGAGUCAUCGGGUUUCAUUUGAAAUCCAAGUAUGGUGCCAUGGUGGUUGACGAAAGAAGAACCAAAUGGAUUUAUUUUCUGAGAUUUUGGGUAUGACGAUGCAUGAAGACUUGUGCUCGAUCAGGAUCUCAAUGGGGUGAGCUUUACACACUGCUAUUACUACUUCGCCUUAUACAAUGAAUCUUUGUUUGUUUGUUUGUUUUUUUUUUUUUGUUUUGAAUCUUUGCUUAUCUGGUUUUGAUGUGAUUGUUUUUUGUUUCACUCUUGCUUGAGUGUGGAGUUGAUAUUAAUCUCAGGAACUAUCAAAAGCAAAGCAAAGCUCUGUCCGAUGCUCUCGGUCAAUUCUCAGGGAAGAAGCCCGUAGGGCUAUAUUGCACCAGCUGGCUUUUUGUGGUUCGUGAGAAUAAAAUGCAGGACUUGGAUCUAUUGCUUGAACAUGUCACAAUCUGAAGCUAAUUGAUCACCCUUUCUCAUUCAUCCGUUUUACUGUCCAACUCUCUGAUCUCCCUUCCUUUUUUUAUUGUUGCUAGGCUGGGAAAGCUAUGAUUGGCUGUUCUGAGGGCAGGAGGUGAGAUUAGGGAAGAAUGGUGUGGUGAAUGGUUUGGAAUUGGGUCCUCUCUCAAGACUUUGAGAAGGAAGGAUUUGAAUUAUUGAAGCCUGGCAUUGGAACCAUUCUUAUACCCAUCUAUAUUUUGCUCUUUUUGUUGGUGUUGUAUUUUUAUUGCUGCUGUUUUUAUCGUCUUAAUGUUGUAUUUUUAUCGGAGUAGGACUAAAGUUGUUCUUAU